rnacentral:rRNA from 1 species
AGUUUGAUCAUGGCUCAGAGUGAACGCUGGCGGCAGGCCUAAUACAUGCAAGUCGAACGGCAGCACAGCAGAGCUUGCUCUGUGGGUGGCGAGUGGCGGACGGGUGAGGAAUACAUGGGAAUCUGCCCAGUCGUGGGGGAUAACGUAGGGAAACUUACGCUAAUACCGCAUGCGCCCUUCGGGGGAAAGCCGGGGACCUUCGGGCCUGGCGCGAUUGGAUGAGCCCAUGUCGGAUUAGCUAGUUGACGGGGUAAUGGCCCACCAAGGCGACGAUCCGUAGCUGGUCUGAGAGGAUGAUCAGCCACACUGGAACUGAGACACGGUCCAGACUCCUACGGGAGGCAGCAGUAGGGAAUAUUGGACAAUGGGCGCAAGCCUGAUCCAGCCAUGCCGCGUGAGUGAAGAAGGCCCUCGGGUUGUAAAGCUCUUUUGUCCGGAAAGAAAAGCGCCGGGUUAAUACCCUAGUGUCCUGACGGUACCGGAAGAAUAAGCACCGGCUAACUUCGUG